CCGACCCUUCGAACCCCCUCGACACGGAGGAGGAGGCGAUCGAAGGGCCCCGAGGAACUGCGCUUCCACGGCCUCAACAUCCUGGACAAGGACCUGGACGUGAAGAUGAGCGACCCGACGGAGCGCGAACUCAAGAACCUGGCCGAAGCUCGCGAAGGGCCCAGAUAACGCUGGAGCAGCUGAAGGAGAAGUACAAGGAUAAGCUGGAAGAACUGGAGAGGAGGCAACAGCAGAGGAUGCGCAACAAAGAUGAAUUGUGAUGAAAUAGAAGAAACAAGAGAGAGGAAAUGUCGAUAGUCGUAGUAAACAUUUUGUUGAAACUCAUUUUUCAAGAUAAAAUUGCUGAUUAAAGUA